rnacentral:rRNA from 1 species
CCUACGGGAGGCAGCAGUGGGGAAUAUUGGACAAUGGGGGCAACCCUGAUCCAGCAAUGCCGCGUGUGUGAAGAAGGUCUUCGGAUUGUAAAGCACUUUCGACGGGGACGAUGAUGACGGUACCCGUAGAAGAAGCCCCGGCUAACUUCGUGCCAGCAGCCGCGGUAAUACGAAGGGGGCUAGCGUUGCUCGGAAUGACUGGGCGUAAAGGGUGCGUAGGCGGCGAGAUAAGUCAGGCGUGAAGUUCCUGGGCUCAACCUGGGGACUGCGUUUGAGACUGUUUGGCUAGAGGAUGGAAGAGGCUCGUGGAAUUCCCAGUGUAGAGGUGAAAUUCGUAGAUAUUGGGAAGAACACCGGUGGCGAAGGCGGCGAGCUGGUCCAUUACUGACGCUGAGGCACGAUAGCGUGGGGAGCAAACAGGAUUAGAUACCCUGGUAGUCCACGCCGUAAACGAUGUGUGCUGGAUGUUGGGGUUCAUAGAACCUCAGUGUCGUAGCUAACGCGAUAAGCACACCGCCUGGGGAGUACGGCCGCAAGGUUGAAACUUAAAGGAAUUGACGGCUGAGAGUGCGAGCGACGACGAGGAGAGG